GCCGAGGUAGCUCAACGGUAGAGCACAGCUUUCGUAAAGCUGGGGUUGUGGGUUCGAUUCCCAUCCUCGGCU
rnacentral:tRNA from 1 species